UACGAAGGGUGCAAACGUUGCUCGGAAUCAUUGGGCGGUAAAGCGCACGUAGGUGGCCUGUUAAGUCGGGUGUGAAAUCCCUGGGCUCAACCCAGGAAGUGCACUCGAAACUGGCAGGCUUGAGUACUGAAGAGGGUCGCGGAAUUCCCGGUGUAGAGGUGAAAUUCGUAGAUAUCGGGAGGAACACCAGUGGCGAAGGCGG
rnacentral:rRNA from 1 species